AAAAAUACAUUUGAAGAAAACAUUCUAGAUAGUGAUUUUCAGUAACUAAUUUAUAUUUUUUUAAUAUUUAAUUAAGUAAAAAAAUAUAUAUAAGUUGAAAAUUAAUUUGUUAAUUAAUUUAAGAUCAACUUAAAUUAAUAGAUUUUUCUUAGAACUUAAAUUAAAAUUAAUAAUUAAAUUAAUUUUAUUCAAGAUACUUAAUUAUUUAUUUUUAUUUUAAAAAAUUCAAUUAAAUAGUAAAAUAUAUUUAGAUGGAGCAAUAUAAAUGUCUCUGAACUUGGAUAGUGUAACUUGGUAGUUUAACAAUUUUUUCUUUAUCGGAAUUUUAAAUUUGUGGGUUUAGCAAGAGGUUUAAACAAUUAAUGAAAACUCAUAAGAAUAAGGGUAGUUGAUACUGUAUACUAACGUGUAGAUAGUUUGAAUUAAGAAGGUUAGGUAGGAUUUUGAAUAUUAGAUUAUCGAAAUGGAAAGGUAGGUGACAAAACAAAAGCUUCUUGCUCGUAACUUAGUCGACUCGUUACAAAAUAUUUAUAUGUAUAUAUGUAUAAUGUAUAUAUAGUGAAAUUGCAGUUUUAUUAGCUAUAUUCUAUUGUUUGAACAAAAUAAAUUAGUGAUGGUGAAUUGGUUUGAGAAGAAGAAAGAGUAGUGAAUAGUGAUUGUGAUUCGUGGUGGAACUUGGAAGUAGAGCCUAGAGAGAUGCCUCCUCCGGGAUUCAAUGGUGGGCCUCCAGGCCCAUUUGGUUGUUUGGGUUCUCUCUGUCAUGGUUUAUGCAGGCUUGUUUCUUCCUGUGCCUAUUUCCUGUGCUGUUGCUGCCUCCUAGAGAGCUGCUGUGGGCCAUUGUUUGGUGGCCCUCCAGGCCCGCCAGGCCCACCAGGUGGGCCUCGAUUCUGAUUGGCUUGGUGAUGAUGAUGCCAGAAUUUGAUUUACAAACAACUAUCAUGUAAUAAACACAGUCUGCUUUAUUUUUAUAUGGUACUUAAUUAAUAUUGUUGUGUUUGA